GAUGAAUGUUGGCGGUGUGCCUGAGAUAUGCAAGUCGAACGUCUUUUUGCCGCAAGGUGAAAAGGUAGUGGCGGACGGCUGAGUAACACAUAGGGACUUACCUCUUUUUGAAGGAUAGCCCAUCGAAAGGUGGGAUAAUACUUCAUAGUAUGAAUACCGCAAGGUAUUUGUUAAAGGGAUUAACUUCUCGAAAAGAGAUGGACCUGUGGCUUAUCAGAUAGUUGGUGGGGUAACGGCCUACCAAGUCUACGACGAGUAGCUGGCCUGAGAAGGUGGUCAGCCAGAGGGGGACUGAGACACGGCCCCCACUCCUACGGGUGGCUGG
rnacentral:rRNA from 1 species